rnacentral:sRNA from 1 species
CGAAUUAUUAGCAUUAUUUCUCUAGAAAUGGUGGGAUAGUUUGCAUAACUAACAAAUUAGAAACCCGCCCAAGAGGCGGGUUUU